rnacentral:rRNA from 1 species
AAAGUGCAUAGAAUUAUUGCUGCGGUUAAAAAGCUCGUAGUUGGAUCUGUGCCAUAGGACGUGGUCCACCUUCGGGUGCGUACUACGCUCCUAGGCUUUUUGUCGGUUUUCCCGUCGUAGCCUUCACUGGUUGCGGCGGGUGGCUGACGAGUUUACUUUGAGAAAAUCAGAGUGCUCAAUACAGGCGUCUAGCUUGAAUGAUUGUGCAUGGAAUAAUAGAAAAGGAUUUCGGUCCUCUUUUAUUGGUUUUGUGGACUGAGAUAAUGGUUAACAGGGACAAACGGGGGCAUUCGUAUCGCUGCGUGAGAGGUGAAAUUCUUGGACCGUAGCGAGACGCCCUACUG